rnacentral:misc_RNA from 1 species
AACGCACCUUGCGCUCCUUGGUAUUCCGAGGAGCAUGCCUGUUUGAGUGUCCUGAAAUCAUCAAGUCUCCGGAUUCGCGUCCGGAGGCUUGGACUUGGGGGUCUUUGCUGCGCUUUGGCGCGGCUCCCCUUAAAUGAAUCGGUUGUGGCCCGUCCGGCUUCAGUCCUCGGCGUUGUAUUCACCUCGCCCCGCGUCUCGUCGGCAGCGCCCUUCCCCGACCGCCUUUGGAGCGGCGGUCAAGACUACAAUUGAAAUCUGACCUCAAAUCAGGUAGGACUACCCGCUGAACUUAA